rnacentral:rRNA from 1 species
GGAUUAGAUACCCUGGUAGUCCACGCCGUAAACGAUGGGUACUAGUUGUUGGGGCCAUAGGGUCUCAGUGACCAAGCUAACGUAUUAAGUACCCCGCCUGGGGAGUACGGUCGCAAGAUUAAAACUCAAAGGAAUUGACGGGGGCCCGCACAAGCGGUGGAGUAUGUGGUUUAAUUCGAUGCAACGCGGAGAACCUUACCUAGUCUUGACAUCCCAUGCAAGUUAUAGAGAUAUGAUGUUCGGCAUUUAUGUCGACGUGGUGACAGGUGGUGCAUGGCUGUCGUCAGCUCGUGCUG